rnacentral:rRNA from 1 species
AGGAAAUAGAUACCCUGGUAGUCCAUGCUGUAAACGAUGGAUGCUAGCUGUGAUGCGUAUCGACCCGCGUCGUAGCGAAGCUAACGCGUUAAGCAUCCCGCCUGUGGAGUACGGCCGCAAGGCUAAAACAUAAAGGAAUUGACGGGGACCCGCACAAGCGGUGGAGCGUGUUGUUUAAUUCGACGGUAAGCGAAGAACCUUACCCAGGUUUGACAUCCUUGGAAGUUCUGCGAAAGCAGAGUGUGCCUUCGGGAACCAAGUGACAGGUGAUGCAUGGCCGUCUUCAGCUCGUGUCGUGAGACGUUAGGUUAAGUCCUUCAACGAGCGCAACCCUUAUAGUUAGUUGUAUUUUCUAGCUAGACUGCCCUGGUAACAGGGAGGAAGGAGGGGACGAUGUCAGGUCAGUAUCUCCCUUAUAUCUGGGGCUACAAACACGCUACAAUGGCCGGUACAAAGGGAAGCCAACCCGCGAGGGGAGCAAAUCCCAUCAAAGCCGGUCUCAGUUCGGAUUGUAGGCUGAAACUCGCCUGCAUGAAGCU